GUGUUUAAUUCAGCAGCACGCAUACUGAAACUAGAAUGAUACAUAAGAAAUUAACAUAGGCUCUGCUAAAUGAUGUCAUGCAAAUUCAUGAAGCAUUUUAUAUUUUU
ensembl:snRNA U6 U6 spliceosomal RNA